ensembl:lncRNA
CCACUGCAAAUUAUUUAAUUAAGAUUAAGAUUUUCCCUAUUUCAGUCAAACACGCUGUCCGUCUGUAGCUGCUACACGGUCGCUAGGUGACAGGCGAUAGACCACCCAAAAUAAACAGCCGCUCACUUCCGGUCUUCGCUACCUUCCCUUAGAAGGACAGCCACAGUUCACUCAGGGCCUGAGUGAGGACAUUUGAGCUGUUCAGACAUUUUGAGGAGUGAGUGGUCGGAGCUGCUCAGCCUCACAGCUUGUGCAGAGAAACAAGAUUCAUUGCGGGUCAUAGAGGAGAUUUGUUUCUGAUAACGAUGGUGGUCGAAGCAGGAGAGGAAAACACUUUCAAAUGACAAUUCUGGAGAAGAUGGGCCUGCAAGGGAAAGUCACCCCCUUGCAGGCCAGAAGACAUGAGAUAACUUUAAAGAAUACAAAGAUUGCAAGUAUCCAGGCUCAGGAGAGGGGGUCAGUGGGAAGCCCACUGCUGCUACUUGGCCCUGGUUUGCCCUCAUGGAUGAGGUGAUAGGACAGAUGCCUUCCAUUAAGCCUCCUGUCCCAUUUCCUCUCUCCCUGAGGACACCCAGGGCCAAGCGCAGCAGUGGGUGACCAAAACGACAGUGAUGACGAAGUUGCUCAGCCACCCACGACAGGGAGAAAGAGGAAAAGAGACAGGGAUGAUGAGCUGCUAGACCUCAUCAGAGAGGACACGAGGCAGCAAAGAGAGGCUGAGGAGAGGAGAGCAGGGAGAGGACGGACAGACUGUUUUCACUUCUAGAAAGAUUCUCCCCGACCACAGUGUUAUUUACAAUCCAAACCAAAAGGUCAAAGGUCAAGCUGUUAAUCAGACUGUGCAGAGGAAACCUUUCUACACGUCACAAAGGAAAAUGUAUAAAAUGGAACAGAGUUUAUCAUAUUUAAAGAAAGAGCUUAGAACAUAUGUAUUUUUAUUCAUCGAACAAUUUGACAGGAAUGAAUCAAAGAUGAGACAGAUCGUGAGAGAGUUUCAGAGGAUUUCUGAUGAAGUAAAAGAAAUGCAGGAAAACACUAACAAAGCAAGAAAAGUAGGAGCUGUUACUGGAGGAAUAGGAGCAGGAUUCAUUUUAGGAGGGCUCCUAUUAGCUCCAUUAACUGGAGGAGCGAGUUUAGUUGCAGUUGGUGUUGGAAGUGCUACUGCUGUUGGAGGCGGAGCUACUGUUGUUGGAUCCAACAUAAAAAAAAUUUUGUCAGAGAGUAGAUGUGGAGAGAAAGUAGAAAUGUGGGGAAAAGAAUUUAUGGCAAAAGUUGAACCAAUGAAGGAGAACCUGAAGGACAUACAGGUGACGUGUGAAAAUUUGGAGAAAGAGUCAGCUGAAGCUCAGGCUGAAAACACUCUGGCUGAUGUGAAGGAGCUUCAGAAGACCCUCGCACGAGUAUCUCGCCUAAAAAACAUGGCUGAGGGACUUUGGUUUGAAGCUGACAUCCUUCUGUUUGUUCUGGGUGAGCUGGUAAAGAUCAUCAAGCAAAUCUUCAGCCUCACUGAUACCCCUGAAGAGGAUCAAAGGUUAAGAGACGCCAUUAUCAAAUCGGCUGAUCAGAGUCAGAAGAUCAUUGAGGGGUUUGAUGAGAUGAAAACAGAACUGAGAAAGUGUAUGAAUGAAAUAUAAGAGUAGAAAAGUCACCUCCACCCCUCCUCCUCCACCCUGUGAGCCUGUACUGUUCACACUGACUAACAAAGUUUUAUGAAUAAAGGAUCAUCAGACUGUGACCUGGACUGUAUGGAGGACUUGUGUAGUUUGAGUCUGAAGCUUCCUCAUAAUCUCCAUUCACAGACUGGGUGUUGUUGUAUAUCCAUGUAAAGCUGAUCCACAGCAGCAUGAUGUCACAGAAGGUCACAGAGAGGUCGUAUGAAGAGGGUCCACAGCCUCACAAAGAGCUGCUUUCCUCCAUGAUCUCCAAUAUUUAUUUGACUGUUUUACUCCACAUUUAACCUGAACUGUGAGAGACUCGCCGACUUUCUUUGUCCUGGCUGGAAAAUGUUUUUUAUUCAUGAGCUAAAAAGAUGAUUUCAUUAAUUUGGUCGGACUCUUAUUACAAAAUAAACCUGAGAAACUUCCUGAGCGCAGAAAUGAUUUCUAAUUCUAAUAGAAGUUAAAAAUUUCAAAGCUGGAGAAACUGGUGAAAGCAACAAAAAUGACCUGGUUGGAAACUAUAAAUACAUUGUUAAAAUCACCUUCACAUGGAUUUGAAAAUAUACACUUGUUCAAAUGCUUUAGUAUGUGAAUAUAUGUUUGUGUAAAAUGCUGAUAAAGAGCUAAAAGUGUGCUCGUCUACAAAUGUAUACAAAUAUUUGCAGAGUCUAAAAUGUCUGCUAUACCACCUUUGUUACCUUAAGACUGGUUUAUGAUGGGAUUUUAUGUUGUUUUAUUUUUAUUCUUUUCUCUUCUGCAUGAAUCAGAGCUUUAGGAAUAAAAAAUAAAGAUCUUCAUGCUCCACACAGGUGUUU